AGGGGUAUAAUGUAAUGGUAACAUACCGGUCUCCAAAACCGUUUUUGAGGGUUCGAGUCCUUCUACCCCUGCCA
rnacentral:tRNA from 1 species